GAUGAAGAACGUAGCGAAAUGCGAUAAGUAAUGUGAAUUGCAGAAUUCAGUGAAUCAUCGAAUCUUUGAACGCACCUUGCGCCCGUCAGUAUUCUGGCGGGCAUGCCUGUUCGAGCGUCAUUACGCCCCUCAAGUCCCCUGUGGACUUGGUGUUGGGGAUCGGCGAGGCUGGUUUUCCAGCACAGCCGUCCCUUAAAUUAAUUGGCGGUCUCGCCGUGGCCCUCCUCUGCGCAGUAGUAAAACACUCGCAACAGGAGCCCGGCGCGGUCCACUGCCGUAAAACCCCCCAACUUUUUAUAGUUGACCUCGAAUCAGGUAGGACUACCCGCUGAACUUAAGCAUAUCAAUAAGCGGAGGA
rnacentral:misc_RNA from 1 species